rnacentral:misc_RNA from 1 species
AAAGUCGUAACAAGGUCUCCGUUGGUGAACCAGCGGAGGGAUCAUUACCGAGUAACAACUCCCUAACCCACUGUGAACAUACCCGUAUUUCGUUGCUUCGGCGGGCAGCCCCAGGGCGGGGCUGUGGCCUUUACAGGCGCCUGCCGGAGGUAUUACACUCUGAUUUUAUUUAUGUUUCUUCUGAGUGGUCUAAGCAAAUAAUCAAAACUUUCAACAACGGAUCUCUUGGUUCUG